GACGAACGCUGGCGGCGUGCUUAACACAUGCAAGUCGAACGAUGUGGCGAACGGGUGAGUAACGCGUAAUCAACCUGCCCUUCAGAGGGGGACAUCAGUUGGAAACGACUGCUAAUACCGCACACUGAUGGAGGGGAUUGCGUCUGAUUAGCUAGUUGGAGGGGUAACGGCCACACAAGGCGAUGAUCAGUAGCCGGGCUGAUAGGGGGAACGGCCACAAUGGGAAUGAGACACGGCCCAGACUCCUACGGGAGGCAGCAGUGGGGAAUCUUCCGCAAUGGACGGAAGUCUGACGGAGCAACGCCGCGUGAGUGAUGAAGGCCUUCGGGUUGUAAAGCUCUGUUGAUCGGGACGCGGUACCGGAAUAGAAAGCCACGGCUAACUACGUGCCAGCAGCCGCGGUAAUUC
rnacentral:rRNA from 1 species